CCGUGAAAAUUUCAUACUUCAUCUUCGCCCGGCCGCGGCCACAAGAGUUUCACGAGCGGGGGACAAUAGGUUCUGUUUAUUCAGCCACAAUAAAGAGCCUGUUUCACUCUGGACUGCAAGUGGCUGAGCCAUCUGGCCCAUAUCUCCACAGUAAAACAUUGUCCGUGGCACAAAAAAUGAUUGCAUCCCCAGGACAAACUGAUGUGACCUCGGAAUAAAGGCUUCCUCUGAAGCUAUGAUAUCAUACUGCAGAGGGGACACCGGCACAAUGGAAUCUGCUCCCCCAGAGCACAAGUGAGAUAGGACUAUUUAAAUCCAAUUUUACAGGAGACUUUUUGUCCUCGGUGGCAAAGCACCCAGAUCCGACGACAGCAUUGAAACAUCUUUUUCUAUGCACUCUUAAGGCAACAGAGCGGUUCUGUCUGGCCUUGGCAGCCUCUGCAGCUCGCUCCGGGCCCAGGAAGCGUCGUCCAGCACCUGCAAGCUUCUCUUCCAACAACAUUUUACUGACGGGGCGGCACCUGCAGCGGGGCCCGGCACAAACAAGCGCCUCUUUCUGCUCCGUGCCAGGCGGAAAAGCUGAGCUGAGCUGGGCUGGGCACGCGGCCCCGGCACGGCUCUACCUGCCCCGGAAUUCCUGCAGCCCCCAGGGAGGAGAUCCAUGGGGAGAAAUGCUCCUGGAAGGGCCGGGGGAUGGCGGGGAAGGGGCUGAUCCUUGCCGGGAUGAUGCUGUGGGAAUGCACUGCCCGCAAUUCUGCGGCCCUGGAAGGGGAUCCUGGAGCUCCCACAUCCCCUCAGUCUGGGGCAGGAGACCCUGCUGCUUGACAAGGCGAAGUUUGGUCAAAGGCUGCACUCGAUGAUCUCCGAGGUUUUUCCGAUCCCAGCGAUCCCGGGAUUCCUCAGGGCUCUCUGCCAUCCUGCUCCUGUCCAGCGAGGCCAAAUUCUCACCGUGACACAACAGCAGCCUAAGCAGGUGGAAAAGUUGUGGAACCACAGAGCCAUGGAUUGGGCUGGAUUGGGAUGGACCCAAAUCCCACCCAGUGCCAGCCCUGCCAUGGCAGGGACAGCUCCCACUGUCCCAGGAGCUCCCAAUGUCCAGCCUGGCCUUGGGCACUGCCAGGGAUCCAGGGGCAGCCCCAGCUGCUCUGGCAAUUCCAUCCCAGCCCCUGCCCACCCUGCCAGGGAACAAUCCCUGCCCAAGAUCCCAUCAAAUCCUACUCUGAAGCCAUUCCCUGGCUCCUGGCCCUGCAGCCCUUGGCCCCAGUCCCUCUCCAGCUCUCCUGGAGCCCCUUCAGGCCCAGCAAGGGACUCUGAGCUCUCCCUGCAGCUUCUCCUGGCCAGGUAGGACAUUCCCAGCUGGGCCAGCCUUUCCUGCCAGCAGAGCUGCUCCAUCCCUCUGCUCAUCCUGGAGCCUCCUCUGGGCUCUCUCCAGCAGCUCCAGCUGCUCCCUGGGCUGGUCCCAGGGCUGGAUGCAGAGAAAUUCUAAAAAUCAAUUCUGGAUCAUUUUCCCAACACCCCCCUGGCAUUCCUGGGAUGAUUUUCAGGGAGGAAAAUCCCAGCAAUGAUGAGCAGAGGAGGGAGGUGCUCCUCAGCCCCAGGGGAUGAGCUGGUUUAAAGCACCCCAGGUCAAUGAGAGGGAGCUGUGCUGCUGAUCUCAACCACGGAAUUCCAGGGGUGCUGAGGAGAAAUGCGGCUUUUAAAAGCUGCAGCACCCAGUUUUUACUCAGGAAUCAAAACAUCAGGAAUUCCAGGGCUUCACUUGGUGCCCCCAGGGUUAGGAAGCGAUCCCAGCAGGAAUUCCCCAGCCCAGGUUUUUGGGAGAGGCAGAACACGAACACCUGGAGCUGGGAACUCUUUGAGCAUCAUUUCCAUACCGGCCUUUUCCCCUUUCCCCACCGGUUCCUAUAGACACCCCCAGCAGCACUGAAACAAUUCUGCUUCAGCCUCCAAUCCCUGCUGAUUCCCAGAUUCCCUCUGAUCCCUCAGUCAAUAAAAUCAGAGUUUUAUUGAAUGCCA
ensembl:lncRNA